CACGAAGGAACACCGUAUUGUAACAAACCAUGUUAUGCAGUAAUGUUUGGACCAGGAGGUUUCGGUCACGGUGGGACUGAGAGCCACAAAUAUUAAUGACAUUUUAUCAACGGUGAAAUCACUUGAGCUUUUAUAGAUUGACUUCUUGACGAAAAUGUUAAUUUCGUUCAGUAUGAAAUAGUAGGCCUAAUCAAAAAUAAGUAUUUUGUGCAUGUAAAGGUAGCUUCAGUCAAGAGGUAUUAUACAGAGUACGGUAUGGGUAUACCAAGUUCCUAUUCUAAUCAGUGCCGGAUCCAGAACCAAAUGGUAGGGGGGAAACUCAUGCGAGCUUGCUCGCAACCCGAGGGCGCACAGCGCCCGAGGGGGGAGGGUGUGGGAGUGGGUGUUCCCCCUCUCACGGUGUGGAAAAUUUUUUAAAAUGACAUUGUAAAGAUGCCAAAUUUAAGCAUACAAUUACUACAUAAACUAGAAUUUUAGAGCCUUUAUUUACAUGUUAACAUCAGUGAUUUUACAUAGUUACACGGAUGAAAGAUGUUUCCCCAUUUAAUUAAUGGACAGGCCGCAUUGAACUGUCAAUUUUAUUAGAAAGAAGAGGGAAAUAAGCUUGGCCUACAAGGCUGAUUUUUACAUUUUGCUUGCGCAGGAAAUUCUAGGGGGGGGGGACAAUUUCCCCUUUUCCCCCCUCCCCCUGGAUCCGGCACUGCUAAUUAAAUAUCCAAGAAUAGGCCUAUAUACCAUUCAUUUCACUUUGCUGAUGAUUUUGUGAGGAAACUUCACUAUACAAGGCCUAUAAUAAUUAUGAUAGUUUGGUUAUGGUUUUUUAAGCUAUUACGGUUUAUAGAACAAUGUUUUAUGAAUUAAAUAUUGCUAUAUUGGA